UGUUUCUUUUUAGAAAUUGUUUCAUUAAUUUACAAGUUUCCUGUUUCGAUAGCAGCCGAUAGUGUAAACCCUAAUUUUGAAUACCGGGUAAAAACGAUAUUCCUUUUAGGGUUUAAGGAAUAAAAAAGGGUUUAAGAUUUUUGUUAAGAUUUCGUUUGAUUUAAACUGUACUUUAUUGGCUUUGUUCUAAUCUUUUUUUUUUUGGUUUGAUUUCGCAGGAACGAUUUUUACUAUUGGUAUUUUCUUUGCUCUCGAUAAACAACGAAAUGCCGUAUAUGUUGAAAAUUUUAGGAGACAAAUGGUUGGAGACUUUCUCCCGGAGCAUAUCUAAAGCAAUUAUUUUUAGAGUACUUAUCAGGUUUGGUUCCUUCAAGCAAUACUAUUUGUUAGCAGGUUUUGAUAGCCAUGCAAGCCAUAGAGUACGUACCAGGUUUCUUUCCAUAGACUAUACUGUUGUUCAUUUGAGGCAUGGACCCACGGUGACUAACCCAAGUUGUUGUGUCAUGUGUGACACCAUUUGCAAGUUAGAAGAGGUUCCCGUGCAAGCCGUAUACAGUACUUAUCAGGACAUACGUACUCAAUAAAAGGCCAUGAUGCAAAGCCAUCUUGAAAGGAGAAGACUUGAGCUGAAGUGACCGAGUUUGUUGUUGUUGUCGUCCAGCAAGUAAGCAAAGGAAGACCGAGUUGUGCCUUUCCGUAUUUGACAGUGAAGUAUACCGUAUACCACUUCUGUUCAUGGAUGGUUGUACUUCUCCGGUAUGUUAACCGUAUGCCACAACAUCCACGGAAGUUGCAUGUUAACCGUUUGAGCAUAUAUAUACAUUCAUAAAUUGCUUGAGAUGUUUGCUUCAUCCAUGGCAUGAUAGUUUGCGUUGAAUUGGCUGCAUGAGAGAAAGAAAUGGAUGUAACCUUGACUGUCUUAAUUAAUUGAGGUACUGGAAUGUUUGUUUGUCCACGUAAUAUAUCCUUCUCUGUUUGUUGCUUUUUAAAUAUCCUUCUCUAUUUGUUGUUUGCAUGCUUCUGCUUGAGCAUUUACAUUUAUGGAAGGAAUACCAAUUGGGUACGUCCAUUUCUUAUUAGUCAUGAAGCAAGUCUUGAUAUACAAGGGACGGAGGAUCAUCAUGAGGACGAUGAGAGAGGAAGGAGAAACGGAUUAUGUUGCAGUUUAUAUAAACUUUCAUAUGCUGGAGCAUUCCGACAGGGGGAGA